rnacentral:rRNA from 1 species
UGGUCCUACGGGGCGCAGCAGUGGGGAAUAUUGGGCAAUGGGCGCAAGCCUGACCCAGCAACGCCGCGUGAAGGAAGAAGGCUUUCGGGUUGUAAACUUCUUUUCUCGGGGACGAAGCAAGUGACGGUACCCGAGGAAUAAGCCACGGCUAACUACGUGCCAGCAGCCGCGGUAAUACGUAGGUGGCAAGCGUUAUCCGGAUUUACUGGGUGUAAAGGGCGUGUAGGCGGGGACGCAAGUCAGAUGUGAAAACCACGGGCUCAACCUGUGGCCUGCAUUUGAGACUGUGUUUCUUGAGUACUGGG